UACGACUACAUAUCAGGCAUAUCAAUAAGCGGAGGAAAAGAAACUAACUAGGAUUCCCUUAGUAACGGCGAGUGAAGCGGGAAGAGCUCAAAUUUGAAAUCUUCAAGGUUUUACCUUGACGAAUUGUAGUUUAAAGAAGUGUUUUCUGUUGGUGUUUUGGUAAAAGUUCUUUGGAAUAGGACAUCAUAGAGGGUGAGAAUCCCGUAUUUGACCAUUACUUCCAGCGUUGUGAUACACUUUCAAAGAGUCGGAUUGUUUGGGAAUGCAGUCCAAAAUGGUGGUAAAUUUCAUCUAAAGCCUAAAUAUUGGCGAGAGACCGAUAGCGAACAAGUACCAGUGAGGGAAAGAUGAAAAGAACUUUGAAAAGAGAGUUAAACAGUACGUGAAAUUGUCAAAAGGGAAGCGUUUGACACCAGUGUCGUUUUCUCGAAAAUCAAUUAAAAGAUAGUUGGAUUUUGUAUUGUUAAUGACUUUAUCAGCUUCCUGUACUUUUUUCUUAGCUAUUUUUAAUGCACUUUUCGUUUAACAAGUCAACAUCAAUUUCUUUUGUUGUAAAAGAGUCAUUGGAAGGUGGCUUUUCACUUCGGUGAAAGUGUUUAUAGCCUUUGGCUUCUACAAUCGGAGAGAUUGAGGUCUGCAGCGUAGAUCCUUCGGGGUUAGAUACGUAGAUGCUAAGUUAUAGUUAUUUAUAGACAACUUGUUGAUUAUGAUUAAUCAUGUAGCUUACUCGUUUACGCUAUUUUACCUACGCUUAGGAUGUUGAUCUCUCACAGUCGAGC
rnacentral:rRNA from 1 species